UAACGCGUGGGUAGCCUGCCUUGUACAGGGGGAUAACAGUUGGAAACGGCUGCUAAUACCGCAUAAGCGCACAGCAUCGCAUGAUGCAGUGUGAAAAACUCCGGUGGUAUAAGAUGGACCCGCGUUGGAUUAGCUAGUUGGUGAGGUAACGGCCCACCAAGGCGACGAUCCAUAGCCGACCUGAGAGGGUGACCGGCCACAUUGGGACUGAGACACGGCCCAA
rnacentral:rRNA from 1 species